UUGGGAAAAUAUGUUUCAAUGUGCUCUAAAAUUUUUAAUGUUUUUGCUCAAACUGACUUUUCUACAUGCAUGAUCAAAGGAUGAGGUUUUCCUCAUGUGUUUAUAGGUCUUUUUAAAAUUUAUUUAUUGACAUAUCAAAAUUGUAUAUAUCUAUCAUUGUACAAUAUAAUUUUUAAAACAAAUUUUAUUGUGUAUACUUAAUGAAUAAAACAUGAUUGUAUGAGAUAUAUAUACUGUACAGUAACAUUGUUACAACAGUGAGUCAAAUUAAUAUCAUCUCCAUAGUUACCCCUCCACUUCCCUAAGCAAGAGCAACUAUAAUCCACUCAUUCAGCAAAAGUCUUGAAAAUGAUACACUAUUAGUAACUGUUAUAGUAGAUAUUUGUAUAAACCACAUUGUGUUCUGCUUCUCUGUCCUGUUGAAUUAAUUUUAAACAAUUUAUACUAGUUAGAUGCUGGCAAUUUUAUCAUGACAGUGUAUAAGCAUAAUAAUUGAAGAUUUUUCUCUUAGAGCUGUUAUAGUAUGGAUGUCCCCUCCAAAACUCAUUUUGAACUUUAAUUGCCAUUGUGUCAGUAUUAAAAAGUGGGACAUUUAAGACAUGAUUAAGCAUGAAGAUCCUGCCCUCAUUAAUGGAUUAAUGUUAUUAUCUUAAGAAUGGGUUAGUGAUUGUGGAAGUGGGCUCCUGAUAAGGGCAUAAGUUCAGCCUGAUUUCCUCCUUCUGUUUCCCACUUGCACCAUUUGAUGCCUUUCAUCACAGUAUGAUACAGCAAGAAGGCCCUCACCAGAUGCAGCCCAUUGAUCUUGGACUUCCCAGCCUUCAGAUCAAUAAGCCAAAUAAACUUCUAUUCUUUAUGAAUUACCUCGUCUAUGGUAUUUUGUUAUACCAGCAGAAGAUGGACUAAAAUAAGGACCAUGGAUAGACAGCAUGUUUUAGUAAAGGGAUAAAUAGUCAAGGAAUCUGAACCUAAAAGUUUACAUGAGGUUCCCUGUCUUAACCCACACAAUCCAGACUGCAAGAGAUGGUGAGACUGCUCAGCAGACUAUAUCAUAAGAGAAGUAAGCUGAGAAUAAUCAUGGAUAAGAAGACACAGGCACUGGACCCUCUGGCAUUGGCCAACAACCUAAAAUUCAAAAUCAGACCUCAGACAGAUUUAGACAUGAUUUGGGCUAGUGUAAAAUUCCAAAAGGGGGAAGUGCUGGAAGAGACACAAAAAAGAAAUCCUGCAACAUUAGUGAUACUUUUGGUCAGGAAGCACUGCAGCUCAUGACUCCCUAUAUAGCAGGAAAUACAGUUGGGGAGCAACUGACAGAGGCAGGGAAAAGGGCUAUGGAGUUUAUCUGAAAAGUGAAUAAGUCAAAUAUUAGAGCUAAGUCUAGUCUUGAGAGGUGACAAUAACAGAAAAGGGUGCUACUUGAUAGAUAUACAGAUGUCCAGAGAUCUAAUGACAAUGGAUCUUAGAGGCAACAAGACAAACUUAAGACCCUAUCAUCAACCCUGAUGGAAGAAGGGUCUCUAACACACAGUCAGGUUUGUCUUCAUUGGCUCCAAAAUUGGAUCUUCAGUAAUCUGCAGUUAGUGGCCUGGAGUAGGCAUUGAUCAGCACUUCCCCCAGUAGACAGAAGCUCAGAUGUCAUCCAGUGACCCUCACUUGAUGCUCAAAAAUUGAGUUCUCAUUUUCAGAACAAGAAUGUUAUUUUAUUUUAGUCCAUUCAGACGUCUAUAAUAAAAAUGUCAUAAACUGGGUGGCUUAUAAACAACAGAAAUUUAUUUUCACAGUUCUGCAGGCUAGAAAGUCCAAGAACAAGGCACCUGCAGAUUCAGUGUCUGGUGAGGUCCCAUUUCCUUAUAGACCAUGCCUUCUGGCUGUCUCUUCACUUGGUGGAAGGGGCAAAAAGCUCCCUUAAGCCUCUUUUAUAAAGACGCUAAUCCCAUUCAUGAGGGCUUUGCCCUAAUGACCCCAUCACCUCCUAAAAGCCCUACCUCUUAAUACUAUCACUUUGGAGAUUAGGUUUCAACAUAUAAACUUGAGGGAGGGAGACACAAACAUUCAGAUCAUGGAAAUCUUGGUGGCAUAUAAAUGCUCGUUCCAAAAAAUAAACUUAGUAAUAUAGAACAUAUUUACAGCAGUAAAUCAUUUGCUUUUCCCCCUCAUCUCAUUCUACCAAGACCACCAAGGCUGCCAAAAAAUGCAAAUAAGUUGUCUGCUUACGUUAUUGAUUGUUUAUUUUGCUGUUCAUAAGUAUGUUUAUUGGAGCACUAUUUACAAUAGCAAAGUCAUGGUGUCAACAAUGUGUCCACUGGAGAAAGAAAAUGUGGUGCAUAUACACCAUGGAACACUAUGCAGCUGUAAAAAAGAAUAAAACUGUGUCAUGUGCAUCAAAAUAGUUGGAACUGGAAGAAAUUACCCUAAAGAAGUAAGUCAAAAACAGAUACUCAAAUACAGCAUGUUCUCACUUAUAAGUGAGAGUUAAACAAUGGGUACAUAUGGACAUAAAGAUGGAAAUUAUAGACACUGAGGACUUCAAAAGGAGGGAAGCUAGAAUGGGAAUGAGGGUUGAAAAAUUGCCUGUUGGGUACAGUGUUUAUUAUUUUGGUAAUGGGUUCACUAGAAGCCCAAACUCCAGCAUUAGGAAAUAUAGCCAUGUAACAAAUCUUCACAUGUAUACCAUGAAUCUGAAAUAAAACAACAAAAUAAAAUAGAAAAUGCAAAUAGCAAACUGAGGAAUCUGAUUUGAAAUGAGCCGCUUUAGCUAUCUUUCUCUGCCUUCAUGUUGUAUAAUCUGGGGAGGUGUUGAUGGUUCAAUUAUCUGCACAUGGCCUUGGAGCUUUUUAUUUCAGUUUUUGGAGUCACAUUCAUUACCUCAUUUUAUUCACAAUGAUCUAACAUAGAUACCAAGAUAAUUAUUAUUAUCCCCAUUUUACAGAUUAGGAAACUAACUUGAAGAAGUACAAAGUAAUAAAUGCAAAUCUGUGCUUCAAUAGUACUAGGUAAAG
rnacentral:lncRNA from 10 species